rnacentral:SRP_RNA from 1 species
UUUGUAGUGCAAUAAAAGUACUAGAAACAGGUCAGGACUGGAAAGUAGCAGCCUUAAUAGUCAACUUUUAUGUGCACUUUUCUUUU